UACAGAGGGUGCGAGCGUUUGUUCGGAAUUAUUGGGCGUAAAGAGCGCGUAGGCGGUCCGAUAAGUCGGCUGUGAAAGUCAGGGCUCAACCCUUGGAAGCCGGCCGAUACUGUCGGACUAGAGUCCGGAAGAGGCGAGUGGAAUUCCCGGUGUAGCGGUGAAAUGCGCAGAUAUCGGGAGGAACACCAAUGGCGAAGGCAGCUCGCUGGGACGGUACUGACGCUGAGGCGCGAAGCGUGGGAGCAACAGG
rnacentral:rRNA from 1 species